AGAGUUUGAUCCUGGCUCAGGAUGACCUCUGGCGGUAUGCCUUACACAUGCAAGUCGAACGGAAAUUAGCUUCGGCUAAUUUUAGUGGCGGACGGGUGAGUAACGCGUGAGAAUCUGCCCUCAGGAGGGGGAUAACGGCUGGAAACGGCCGCUAAUACCCCAUAUGCCGCGAGGGGAAAUGAAUUUCGCCCGAGAGGUGAAAUGAAUUUCGCCUGAGGAUGAGCUCGCGUCUGAUUAGCUAGUUGGUGGGGUAAAGGCCUACCAAGGCGUCGAUCAGUAGCUGGUCUGAGAGGACGAUCAGCCACACUGGAACUGAGACACGGUCCAGACUCCUACGGGAGGCAGCAGUGAGGAAUUUUCUGCAAUGGGCGAAAGCCUGACAGAGCAAUACCGCGUGAGGGAUGAAGACUUACUGAGUUGUAAACCUCGGUACCUUAAGGAAGAAGAUAUGACGGUACUUAAGGUGGAAAGCAUCGGCUAACUCCGUGCCAGCAGCCGCGGUAAGACGGGGGAUGCAAGUGUUAUCCGGAUUUACUGGGCGUAAAGCGUCUGCAGGUGGUUUCUUAAGUCUACUGUUAAAUCUUGAGGCUCAACCUCAAAUCUGCAGUAGAAACUAGGAGACUUGAGUAUAGUAGGGGUAGAGGGAAUUUCCAGUGGAGCGGUGAAAUGCGUAGAUAUUGGAAAGAACACCGAUGGCGAAGGCACUCUACUGGGCUAUUACUGACACUCAGAGACGAAAGCUAGGGGAGCAAAUGGGAUUAGAUACCCCAGUAGUCCUAGCCGUAAACGAUGGAUACUCGGUGUCGGGGGAAUCGACCCCCUCGGUGUCGUAGCCAACGCGUUAAGUGUUCCGCCUGGGGAGUACGCACGCAAGUGUGAAACUCAAAGGAAUUGACGGGGGCCCGCACAAGCGGUGGAGUAUGUGGUUUAAUUCGAUGCAACGCGAAGAACCUUACCAGGGUUUGACAUCCUGCGAACCCCUUGGAAACGAGGGGGUGCCUUCGGGAGCGCAGAGACAGGUGGUGCAUGGCUGUCGUCAGCUCGUGUCGUGAGAUGUUGGGUUAAGUCCCGCAACGAGCGCAACCCUUAUUUUUAGUUCUAUUGUCUAAAAAGACUGCCGGUGACAAACCGGAGGAAGGUGAGGACGACGUCAAGUCAUCAUGCCCCUUACACCCUGGGCUACACACGUCCUACAAUGGGUAAGACAAUAAGUUGCAAAUCCGCGAGGAUAAGCUAAUCUUUCAAACUUACUCCAAGUACAGAUUGCAGGCUGCAACUCGCCUGCAUGAAGGUGGAAUCGCUAGUAAUCGCUGGUCAGCUACACAGCGGUGAAUUCGUUCCCGGGCCUUGUACACACCGCCCCUCA
rnacentral:rRNA from 1 species